CGUCUUAAGCAUGCAAGUCGAACGGCAAGAGGUAGCAAUACCUCCUAGAGUGGCGGACUGGUGAGUAACACGUGGGUGACAUACCCUUCAGAUGGGGAUAGCUAUUAGAAAUAGUAGAUAAUACCGAAUACGAGCACAGGGGUUAGAGAUCUGUGAGGAAAGGAGCUAAGGCUCCGCUGAAGGAAUGGCCUGCGGCCCAUUAGCUAGUUGGUGAGGUAAGAGCCCACCAAGGCGAUGAUGGGUAUCCGGCCUUAGAGGGUGAACGGACACAUUGGGACUGAGAUACGGCCCAGACUCCUACGGGAGGCAGCAGCUAAGAAUAUUCCGCAAUGGACGAAAGUCUGACGGAGCGACGCCGCGUGGAUGAAGAAGGCCGGAAGGUUGUAAAAUCCUUUUGAAACUGAAGAAUAAGCGUUGUAGGGAAUGACAGCGUGGUGACAGUAGGUUUUGAAUAAGCAACGGCUAAUUACGUGCCAGCCGCCGC
rnacentral:rRNA from 1 species